UGGCCAGGUCUGGCCCAGAAAAAAUGAAUUGUUGAAGAGAAAUAAGCUCAACUAUUUCCUUUCCUUCUCUAAGAGCAGAGAUUCCAAAUAAGAUCAUGCACACAAAGUACUUGGUAUGGCACCCAGCACAUAGUAGGUGUUAUCUUGGGGGGGAGAGACAAUCAUGUCAACAUCUAUAUUUGGGGACAACAUCUUUGGAGACAGCUAGGCUUACCAAGGGGGAGAACCAGGGCAGACAGGUCAGAGGAGGCAAAGGAGGUAACUGCUGAUGUCACAAUGCCUCUAUUUACACAACACCUGCUUCUUGAACCACCUCAGGGCCCAACAAGAGGAUGGCGGGGUGGAGUAAACAGAGGACCAAGAGGGACAUGGGACUGAGAGCCCUGGGGACAUCAGGAGACAAGAAAUAAACACCAAGCAGCAGAGAAGGCUUGAUAGCCAAGGAAGGAUGGGGAAUCACAGAGAGCUCUCAGAAUGAUGAGUGGCUGGGUGAAAAUUCCCAUGGAACCCCUUAAUGACUGGCUCCAUGAAGUCUUGGUGAAGCUCCAGCCUCUGAGAAGGUGCCUGUUGGCCUCUUGGUCAGAAGAGCCCAUGUCACGUCAAGCAGGACAUGAAGAAGAUGGUGACCUUGAAAUUCAUACUAUUCUGGACACUGUGCUCUUGGACCCUAGAAACCUACCCCUCAGCCCCUUUGAUACUUAUGGUUGAAGCUUGAAUCCUGGACUGCCUUGUCUCCAAGUUCUUGAAUUGCUGUUGCCUAUGCCUAUUGCGAUGUGCCAGGCCUUUCACAUAUGGUGUCCUAUUCAGUUUUCACGAUCAUCCUUAUAAGGGAGGCAAGUCACUCACAUUUGAAAGAUGUGGAUACCAUAAGCUCAGAGAAGGCAAGUGAUUUGUUCACUUAAAUGCAGUAAGGAACAGUACUAAGAUUUGAACAUGGGUUCAAAUUAGCCAUUAGCCAUAUUUGUUAUAUUUUUAGGAUAAUGUCCCGCAUUUCCCCGUUGGACUUUUUGUAACAGUGAUAGUUGUCAAGCUAGCUAGUCCACAGUUUUCACUGUGUCCUGUAGAAGUGUGUAGCUUUCAGAUGCCUGGGUUUCCCAUGAUUCUUGGAGAGUUCAGGUGAAACUGCCUGUGGCAAUUGCAGGAACACCCGUCCACUUAUCUAAUGAAUUUUAUCCCAAUGCCUGGGGGAGAACAGUGAAUAUAAUGGAUGAAAUCUCUUCUUUCAUGAAUCUUCUAGUUGGUUAAAAUAAAAUAACCUGAGUAAGCCCUAAGAAGUUAAAGGGGGAAAGAUUUAUUUGGCUUACAGUUAUAGAGGUUUCAUAAUCCAUAAUCGGCUGGCUCCAAGGCAGGCUGGCAGAGGGGCAACAGUUCACGGCAGCCCAAAGGUAGCAAAGCAAUAAGAGAGCUUAAUGGUGUCUUUCUGUCCCCUUUCUCUUAUUCAGAAUAUGUGUGUGGGGGGGAGUAGCACUCACACCCUUAAUCCUAGUGCCCUUGAGCCUAGCAUUGUAACAUGAAUCAGUUGCGGCAUCACAUGCUCUAGAUCUAGCCACCUCUGCAAAAGCCUGUGACCACAUGAGGCUCUGGGGGGACAUCUAGACACAAAUCAUUAAGUACCUAUUUGUUGAAUAAGGUGAUGGAUAUAUUUAUUAAUGUUUAUUCUUGUAGUUGCCUCGUGGAAGGAAGGGAAAUAGAGGUAGGAAGACUUUUUUGGGGAACGGGGCCUGAACUAGAGAUAUAAGGGGGAAGGAAGAGUUGAGUGUCCAUUUAUGCCACCAACUGAAACAGAAGACAGAGUUGUUUGUAGAUGUAUGAUGUGAUAACAGAUACUCACCUGAAUUUUAAAUAGGAUUAAAAUUGAUGAAAUGCAACAACUUUUAGAGGAAUUUAUUCAAUAAGCAGUUGGAGGUAAGACUCUAGUCUCAGAAGAAAGAUAGUUCCUAGAAACAUAUUUUGAUGAUUCUCAAGAUCUCAAUGGAGUGAUACAACUUUGGGAAAGUGAUUAAUUCUUAUCAAACUAGAAAGAAAAAGAUUAAUAAUUUAGUAUACCAACAAUAAUUUACAAUGGGACUUGUACCUAUGAGUUAUUUAAUAUGUGAAUUUCAGCAAAUUGCUUAGUGAACCGUAGGAAAAUAGAUACCUUCCAUCCUCUCAACCACCAAUGAGUCAUCUUUUUUUAUUCAUUUGCUUCUCUGAGACCAAAUAUUGAUGUUCCCAAAUCUGUGGUACUAAUGUUGGAGAAACAUUGCAAACUUUGGGAUAUCUUUUCUAUACUUCCUUACAUUCCCAAUACAAAAUAUGAAAUAUAAUUUGACAAUAUCUUUUUGAAAGCAGCUUUAUUGAGAUACAGUUGUAACUUGCAUGUGUUAAUGCACCUAGCUGAUUGGAUAGGGUUGUUGUUGGUCUCCAUUUUGCUCCUAAGGCUUGAGUGCUAGAUAUCAGGGCUUGAAAGUUGAGGCAGUAUGUUUUCAUUGAUCCCAUUGCUGUUUCCUUGCAAUUACACUGAAGCAUCCAGCUUUCCCAUUAGUCUUACCAAUGCAUCAUAUUGUGUGACAUUCAUCUCAGAGCAAUUUUCCUGUCCAAAGUAUAUCUGAGCUCCAGGGAGCUUAUUCUUGUGAACUCCUUCUCUGGCCCUUCCAUGUGGGAUGGGACCUUGGAGUUUUGCCAUAAUUUUGUCUCAUUUUGGUGAUGAGAAUCAGCUUACCCACAGAAUCUUAGUUUCUGUCCUUACCAUUUGUGGGUUGCUUUGCAAUGAAUAGUAAACCUUGGAGUUGGUAGUGAAAAACUCUAGAAACCAUGGUGGCAAAUGUCUUUGUCUAUGAAGAUAAACCUUCUUGGAGGACAGUAUUCAUCUCUCAGAGUUGAGAGGAAGUGGCUUUGGCAGUACUAGAAUCUUUGGAGAUUAGAAAUUUUCAGCAGCCAACAUUUUCUGAGCACCUUGCUAUAUAGAGCUUUACAAAAAGCAGCCAGGCAUCAGUGAGUUUUUCAUUCUUAAGGCACACUGCUCAUCACUUAUAGUGGGUAAAAUUAGAAACAUCUUAAAAGUCUCUAAAUAGAGGCAUGAAUAAUAAUGAUUCAUCCCCUUGAUGGAUUUAAACAACCUGUAAAAUAAUUAUGAGGAAUCUUUAACCAGAUGAGAAAAAUACAAUAUAAUGGUAGAGCAAAAAUAAUAGAUUCAAAAGGAUAUGUGCAUUUUAUAACCGUCACUAUGUAAAAGUUGGGGGAGAUAAUAGUUCUAUGAUGGUAUUGGGAUUGUGAGAUGUUUUUAAAAAUGAGAUUUUUCUAAACUUUCUAUAUUGUUGAUAUAUAAUUUCCAUUAUGAGAACAUAUGCAAAUUUAUAGAGCAAAAUGUUGAUAUAUAUUUUUGUUAUGAGAAUAUGUGCAAAUACAUGGCAUCAUCAACACAGUACAUCCUGAAUUGCUUUUCUAUGAAUAUUGAUGAUCUGUUCUACUUCCUAUUCAUCUUCUAGUGAUGGGAAGAAGUAUGAUACUACACCUAGAGGGUAGAGUGUGUCUGUACACAGCUUUGAAGUCAGUCUUCUCUGUUCCAUCGUCCAUUACAGUGGAUCUUAACAGUGCUAAAGAUCCAUCCACAAGGUUGCCUUCCUUUACUUCUCACCAAAUGGUGUAUCUUCCAUGUGUUGAUUUUCUACUUUUUGAGUUGCUUUAGGGUUACAAUUAUCACUGGUAUGAAUGUAGAGCAUUCAUGAGAAAGUGCAUUAAACUUUUUUUUGAGGCAAGGUAGUUUAGGCUGUCCUUGACCUCAUGAUGGUCCUGCUUUAGUUCCUGAAUCCUGGAAUUACAGGUGUGUACCACCAUGCACAGCUAGAGAUCAAACUUUAAUUUUCAGUAUGGCAGUUUAUUUUGAUUGUGGUUAAACUGUGGAAAAUUCAUCCCCAACAAUUGAGAGUUUUGAUUUAACAAUAAUUUGGAAUCACCUGACUCACCUGAAUUGACUCACCUGUUACGCAAAUGUUGGCAUUUUCUCACAUUUUGGCACAAAGUGGGAUAAUUGUGUGCCACUGAGGACCAGCUGAUAAUAGGCUGAUGGAGUAACUGAAAUCUAUAGAAGGCAACUACUUUAGCUCUUUGCUUCUAGCAAAAGUCUCAAAUGCAAGUCACUAUCUUAAAAGAAAACUGUCAGCCUGUAUCCCUAUGCUUUGAGCAUUUUAAAAGGAGGUUGCCUUUGAAUGAGGUUACCUUGAAUGAGGACAGUCCAGGGAAAUGCCUGGAUGUUUCCCCCAUGUGUUCUUUAGGUUCACAAUGCCCUCGUUGUUCUGGCAGAGCAGGAUUUCCUUUUUUCUGAUUGAUUAGGCAUUGUGUAGCAUGGCUCUGUUGCUCAUGAGCCAGCUAUGAUGCAGACAGAGGGUCUCUGAGCACAAGAUUCUUAAAUCUUUUCAUUUUUGCUUUCCUGAAUAUGAGGUUGUGAGGCUAUUUCUCACUUCCUGCUUCUCCAUGUCUUUAUUUGUCUAGCUAAUCAAUGUACGAGUGUACUCUAAAAUGUCUACAGAAAAAAAGCCAAAAAGCUCUCCUCUGAUUAUGCUUGUUUGCCUUGUUCUGAAUAUUUAAUUCUUUAAUUUGGAACUUGAUCUAUAAAUAAUAUGGUCACAUGUGUUUUGUGCCUAAUGGGGCUUCAUAUUUUAUAUUUAUAAAUGGCAACUUAAUAUUUAUGAUUAGAUAUUCCUUGGAUAAACAUAAAAUUCAGAUUCACAUCAUACCUGAUAGGUAUAUAAUGCCUAGUGCUUCUUCCUGUAGUGAAUUUGUAAAUGGUUGAUUCAACCAGUUCAAUAUUGUAGUUUAUGUGAGAAAAACCCACCACAUCCUUGAAAUCAGCCCUGAUUAUCUGCACACUGGAAGAAGAAUGUGGAGCCUCACUGGUGAAACACUUCACUCAGGAUUUGGAAACACUGAGGUUGCCGUUCAACCCAGGCUCACUGCCCAUUACUCCACCUGUCCUUUGAAACUCAGCACAGUCAUUUUUUUCUUUUUGAUACCCUUCUCCACGAGGGCUAAGUUAGAAAACUGAUGGUCUGUCUUCCGUAUGGGUUGUGAAUGCCUUGAACCAAGGCAUUCCUCUCUCUGCUUUGUGGCUCCAGCAUCUGGCUCAGGGAUGGUACACAGAGAUGUUCAAUCCCUGUCUGCAGAGUAGCUGAUGGGACCUGUAAAAUCUGUGAUGGGGACAUCUCUGAUUUUGUUUCUGAUGACAUAAUCACAUAGAUUAGUUUUGUUUGCUUUGUGGAUCCUUGACAUCGAAAAGGGCAGACUCCAAAACAAGAAGGAAUGUGGUAAAUCCACAGUGAGUUCUGUGUGAGUGCAGGAGCUGUACCUCUCAGAAGGGUAGUUGGAAGUGGGAUCUCUUCUUAUUAAAAGGCUUCUGCACAGCAAGAGAAACCACCAGCAGUGUGAAGAGACAACCCACAAUGUGGGAAAAAAUCUUCACCUGCUCUUCCUCAGACAAAGGUCUACUAUCUCGAAUCUAUAAAGAAUUUAAAAAGAUCAGACCUCCCAAAUUUAAAGACCCAAUCUGAAAAUGGGCAUCU
rnacentral:lncRNA from 1 species